AUGAGUAUCUAUGUAU
rnacentral:sRNA from 1 species